CGGACGGGUGAGUAACGCGUGAGUAACCUGCCUUACACAAGGGGAUAGCCGUUGGAAACGACGAAUAAUACCCUAUGACAUAAACUCUUCGCAUGAAGAACUUAUCAAAGAUUUAUCGGUGUAAGAUGGACUUGCGUCUGAUUAGCUAGUUGGUGAGGUAACGGCCCACCAAGGCGACGAUCAGUAGCCGGCUUGAGAGAGUGUACGGCCACAUUGGGACUGAGACACGGCCCAGACUCCUACGGGAGGCAGCAGAA
rnacentral:rRNA from 1 species